rnacentral:rRNA from 1 species
UACGGAGGAUCCGAGCGUUAUCCGGAAUUAUUGGGUUUAAAGGGUGCGUAGGCGGCCCGUUAAGUCAGGGGUGAAAGACGGUGGCUCAACCAUCGCAGUGCCCUUGAUACUGUCGGGCUUGAAUGUACAUGAGGUAGGCGGAAUGUGGCAAGUAGCGGUGAAAUGCAUAGAUAUGCCACAGAACACCGAUUGCGAAGGCAGCUUACCAAGGUAUGAUUGACGCUGAGGCACGAAAGCGUGGGGAUCAAACAGG